AAUGCUGCCCCCUUUUUUCCCCUAGUAACCACGCUCGUCCGCCAUUGUCCGUGAACGACGCAUUAAUUUUACCGGUAGUUUAAUUCAUGAAAGUCAGUGAACAAGAUUUCUUUUGCAAGGGUAAGAUUUAAACCAGAAAAUUGAGCGUAAAAUCAAUCAUGACUUUUAAUUAACGAUUCUGACAAGAUUUUCAAAGAUGUUUGAGUUUAGUUUGAUUAAAAAAAUAUUAUAUGCUAAAUAAAAUCGGAAAUUUAUGUUGAAUAGGUGUCAACACUUGUUUUAGGGAUCACAAAUUCGUUUUUAUACUUUUCGAUAAAGUUGGGUGGAAUUCUUUAUUUCGAUCGUUAAUUUAUACGAAAACAUGAUCGCAAGACGCAAGGAUUAUUUCAAGUUUUUAAAUUCUUUAGUAGUUUUAUGAUCUUUUGAUCUUUUGAUCUUUUGAUCUCUUGAUCUCUUUAGACAAUUACGUAUCAUAUAAUCCUCGAUAACGAUUCAUACGAUAAUUUAUCAAAGAAAAAGGAUCAUCACACAAUAAAACAUCGUAAAAAUUUAGUAGCAAAAUUACCUUAGUAAAUAUGUUAUACAAGAUAAUCCAAAAAUAGAUGAUAUAGUUCAAGGAUUUUUUCUAAAAACAGGUAUAAGAAGAGUUCUAGAAUUCUCCUUUAAUUUCGUCAUAUUUACAUUUUUUAUCUUCGUUAUUCUUUACCCUUAAGCAUUUUUCUCUACACUGCUCGUUAUAUCAUUUGUACUUUUCUCUUUAUUUCUCAUAUGUAUGUGCAUGUGUUACAGAUUAUUAAAGAGAGAUAGAACUAUAAGUUAGCAAAAGAUCCGUACAUUUUCAAAAACAGAUACUGUUAACUUGCCAAUGUAAUCAGUAAGUACAUUAAAAAACUGACGAUAGUUGUCUGAAUGGUACGAAAUGGGGCGAAUAAUAAACUCGUAACUCGCCAAAGAGGAUGGAUAAAACGAAAGUUUUUUAAAACACACGAAUUAUACUUAUUAGAGUUUAAGGUGUUCAAACUCCAACAGUGUGUUUUAUCGUAUUGAUGUAUAUCCAAUAAUCAACUCGUAUCGCAGAAUUAUCGUUUAAGAGAUUAAUCUUUUUAAGUAUUUUAUAUUUUUUCCAAGACGACAAAAAGCAUUAUUACACAGAAGAACUCAAUAAAAUAACCCUGAUGACUUUCAUUAACAAUGGAUAAUUUUCUAUUUCUACGACGAUGGAAAUGAUUCUUUCACUCUCAGGGAAGAUACCUUAUCGGAACCUGGCGAUAGCUCGUGAUUGAAAUAGUCGAGCACACUGUGGCACAAUUCUCCUUUUACUUCGUGUAAUUUUAUGUCGAAUGAAUUUUAUAUAAUUUUAAUGUAACCCUUAAUAUUGUUACGAGCUUAUACAGCUAUAUUUUGAUAUUUAAUAAGAUUGUUCAAACACUUUUUUAACGAACUUUUUAAAUAUUUUUUCUAAUCUUUCUGUAGUAUAUUUUUAACACUAAAGUAAGGUACGUAAAAACAUUCUUUUUAAGUGAGUUAGAGAUAAAGCAAUGGAAAUUUAUGGAUAAUAAAACGACGGAAUCCAAUUUAAAGACGUAGUUCUCCGGCUACUAAAACUUCCAUUUAUUACUCUAUGUGCUACUUCAAUUAAUAAGUAUACUGAUCUUCUGUUCUAGAUACAUAUUUAUUUGGGCUUUACAAUUAUCAUCUAAAAAUUAUAUAAACUUCCACUACAGCUUAUUAUCGAUAAUACUCUAAUUUAAAAUUAUCUCCAAUUCGAAAACACAAAUUAUUCAACCGACAACUUAUACGAACAAAAUUCUAAUUUUAUUAAUUCAUUAAAUAAAUUUUUCUAUCUAAACGAUUGAGGGAAAUAAGAAUUGCAAAAGGAUGACAAAUCGUUACCACGAACAAUUUAUUCCGAUUAGUUCACCGAACGACGCUUAUUUGAAUAGUAUUUAUAUCCUUCAUUAUUGACGCUAUGUAUCUAAACAGUGACUGGAGGCAUUACAAUUAAUUGAGCUCAUAACUAAAUACGUUCGUGCUGUGAUCGUUAAUGUCUACAUACACAACGCGUGUUGUCGUUGAAAAACAUAUUCGAUAAGAGUGUUCAUUAUGUUAAUGCAAUGCUAUCUUGGAAUUGAUGUCUGACAAAAGAAGUUAGUUUUCAUUGCAAAACGACUCCGCUAAUUAACACGAAUUCGUCGGUGAAGAUAUGUUGUUUGUAGACAUGUCGCACCUGAGAAUUCUUGCACUCCUUUUAGAUAACGACAAUCGAGAAGUUUAAAGUUAAAUAUUGGGAAAACGAUAUUUACACGAUACAUCAUCGGAAUAUAUUGUUUUAAAGAUAGCAAGGGCAAUAUAAAAUAUAAAUGAUACACAUUAUGUUUAUCAUAUGAUAUACAGUAUAUAUUCAUCAUAACUUCACCAGUAUGAGUCACUAGUAAAAUUUAACCUCUUAACUUCCAUACAUCCUGUUAAACAAGCAUACACAUAAUCCUUGAAAUGUAAACCAAAUUUAAUCUACUUUGCAACACUUGCAACCUAACCUAAAAUAUCUAUGAAAUUAAUUAACAUCAAUGUUAUCAUUGAAAAAUAUUUUUGUUUCACAGGAUAUAUAGUUAAAGAAACUUUUUAUCUCUCUCUCUAAAUAAAAUCUCUACUUAAUUAUAGUUGAACAACGUCGAUAUCGAUAUGAAAGAUAUUCUUCCUUCAAAAAAAUCUAGUAAAGACGAACUUUUUGUUUAAAUGUAAAUCAAGUUUAACUUGCUUUCUUUCGUUGAAACUUAACCUAAAGUAUCUACUAAUUUAAACUUAAAUAAUAUCUAUGUUUGUUUUGAAAAAGUAUUUUUCCCGCAAGAACCUAAUUGUAAGGAACUUUUUACUAUUCUAAACAACAAGAGAAAACAACAAAAGGUGUAGAUAUUCAAGAGAAGAAAAAUGCGAAUUAUAUACGCCAAUGAGGAGAAACGGCAACCUCAGUGGUUAGCUCGCGUUCGCACUGAAAAGCGUGCCAAUAGAUGGCUACGUGCAAACCGAGAGGGCAAUGACAAGCAGGUAACAUCGUAGAUUUGAUUAAAAUGCUUAAACUCUGUCUCUGUCUGAAGCUGUUCGUCGCUGUUCUAAGCCGUUGGAAACCAUGUAACGCGAUUGUAACGCACGCGCGUGUAUACGCUUGCGGAUUCUUCGAGCGUAACGUCUGCAAACACAACUACUUGCACACGAAAUUAGAUUGUUCAGUACUUAUACAAUAAGAACUUCAGUAACGAUGAGAGACUAAACUAGAAUGACUAUGGAAGAACUUAAAGUAGUUUGUAUAGAAUCUAGAGAUAGACUAUAGAAUUUUAUGUGUUCCGUAAUGUAAGGUUAAAAAGCAGCCAUGAUGGAUUUCACUGUAAUAGAAUUGUACACAACAAAUGUAUGUAUUUAGAGUUGAAAUAGAAUGUAACUGGUACAUUUGAA